GGUGAGAUGGCCGAGUGGUUAUGGCGCUGCGUUCAGGAAUUUUCUGUGGUCGUUUCUCGAUUCAGAAUUGUUAACGCUGAGCAAAUUUCGCAGUGGAGCAAUCCGCGUGGGUUCGAGUCCCACUCUCAUCA